AUUGAACGCUGGCGGCGUGCCUAACACAUGCAAGUCGAGCGGUAACAGGUAUAGCAAUACAUGCUGACGAGCGGCGGACGGGUGAGUAACGCUUGGGAAUCUGCUUAUCAGUGGGGGACAACCCGGGGAAACUCGGGCUAAUACCGCAUACGAUCUACGGAUGAAAGCCGGGGACCGCAAGGCCUGGCGCUGAUAGAUGA
rnacentral:rRNA from 1 species